UACGUAGGGGGCAAGCGUUGUCCGGAUUUAUUGGGCGUAAAGAGCGUGUAGGCGGCUUGACAAGUCCGCUGUGAAAACUCGAGGCUCAACCUCGAGACGUCGGUGGAAACUGUCUCGCUAGAGUCCGGAAGAGGAGAGUGGAAUUCCUGGUGUAGCGGUGAAAUGCGCAGAUAUCAGGAAGAACACCCGUGGCUAAGGCGGCUCUCUAGUACGGUACUGACGCUGAGACGCGAAAGCGUGGGGAGCGAACAGG
rnacentral:rRNA from 1 species